UUUUAAACCCUUACCUUCUGUCUUGGAGUCAUUACUGUGUAUUGGCUCCAAGGCAGAAGAGUGGUAAGGGCUAGGCAAUGGGGGUCAAGUGACUUGCCCAGGGUCACACAGCUGGGAAGUGUCUGAGGCCAGAUUUGAACCUAGGACCUCCCAUCUCUAGGGCUGGCUCUCAAUCCACUGAGCUACCUAGCUGCCCCCGGUUUAAUUUUUAAAAGGGUUGGACUUAUAAUUUAUGAGCAUGGUCACCAGGAAUUUAAUUAAUUCCAAAGAGAUUUUAUUUACAAUUUCAUUACAAAAUGAAGAAAGAGCGAAGCAAGAAAUCAGAGAGAGGAUAAGUAAGAUAUCUAGCCUAAACAUUAAUUAAUUUGCUCCCCGCUCCUGGGUAGGGAGAGUUAAUUCUUAGCAGGAGGGGCCUCUGCUCUUGUAGUCAAGGCCUGGGGAUACAGGGAGCCUCUCUCAAGAGGAUAGUCUUUCCUGAGGCCAGUCUCUUCAGAGGAAAAACAGCAGUUAAGAGUCAGCUUUUCACUCACCACAUAUCAGUCCAUCAGGAACAGGGUCUCAGGUCCAGUCAGCAGAUCAGAGAAUGAAGAAUUCUUCCUCUCACAGGAAGUAACAGCUCCUUUUAAAGACAUUUUCUCUUGUGUCACUUCCUGUGUCUUCCCCUAAUUUUUACAUCUGCCAAUCACAGUUGAUGCUCUGCUCUAGGACUGCCCAGAAGGCAGUCAGUCAAUUCUGAUUUACCACCCACUAUUGCACAUAUGGGUCACAGACCUCCCACUUCAUGAUUAAGUGGGAUGUUUGCACUUUUGGUGAUUAGAUCUAAAAAUUGGCAGAUCUCCAUACUCAACUUUAAGUACCGUGUCUUUUCUCUCAUGGGGAUUCAAUCUAAAAAUAGGGGUUACAAUUUAAUCUUCACAAUCAGGGGAGAGUUAAGUAUUUUCAUUGUUAUUAUCAGGGGAGAGUUAGAUUUAAUCUUCAAUAUAUAUGUCUGUGUACAUAACUUAUAACUGAAAUAUACAUUUAAUGGGGAUGCAUGCUAAAUAAUUUUACUAGCAAUACAAUAAAAAAGUUUGGGGACCCCUGGUAGGAGUUAAUCACUUCAUUGACAAACUGUUUUUAACUCUGGAAAUUCCUUGCCCAAUUUUGUCCUAGCACUACUUUUCAUUCAGAGUUCAGAGGAUGCUGGCUUGCAAGGCUUCCUGUAGGAGAUAGCAUUUGAGCUGGACCUUUAAGAUAAGACUUCAGGAUAAGACUUAGGAUAAGACUUCAAUGCUUAGAACUUUGAAAAGUAGAGACUGACUAGGUGAGGGGGUUGAGGGGGAUAGGCGGGGAAUGUUGACUUCUCCCUUAGAGAUUUACCCAUGAUAGUAGAGAAUGAGAAUGGUGGAACCUCAGAGCUGCACUUCCAAAAAAGGAUUUUUUCAGCUUUAAGAAAGGUAUCAUCAUUAGCAAUUUGAGCAGGGUUUCCUCCUCACUUUCAACAAACACCCUCAAGUUGCUCUAGAAAGAGAUACACAAAUUCACACAGAGGGUCAUUGGAUGAUGGAGUUCCAAAUACUAUAGAGCAGAAUAACAAGGUUUGAGAAGAAUACUGUAGCUGGAUAGUCAUACACUAUUACUGUCCUAUCAUAAGUCAUGGCAAACUCAACAAGAAGGACCAUCAGAAGACCAGAAACCCCAGGAGUUGUUGAUACUGGUAAGCAUAGACAUGGGCUGUGUUAUUGGUAGGGACAGCAGCUGAUAUAAAUUCAGGCUGUGGCUCUCAAUAAUAACUGUUUUCACCUGCUGCAUACCUAUGCCCUCAUUCUCUCUUGUUCUUUCAGCUGUGACAGCCAUGAUCCAUUGACAACAAUUAUGUGUUGGACUUUGUAGGGAAAAGGUUUUACCUGGUCCAGUACCAAAAGAUGGAUGGAGCUCAUAUAUAGAAUUCUUGUGAAGUGAAGCAGCAGCAGUAUUUUACCUCCCCUGCCCUUACACACUGGCAGAGAGCUUGAGACUAAACAGUCCUGCAUUCUAGGAGGGAUCCACUGAAUGAGCCUUGAAUGAUGGCAGUAUCCUGGUCUCCCAAACUGACCACUGAUGGAUAUAGAGCCCAAGCUCAUUCUGUGCUUCCUGCCCAAUCCCUUGCCUUCCAAUAAGCCCAAAGUUUGCAAUUUUCACAUUGCCCCAAAUGCACUGCAAUCAGCUCUAUAGUCUUGGUCCUGGGCUCUUUUGUAGCUUUUUCUGCUGGAUUUGCUACCUUCCUCCUUUCUUCAACAAAGAGUGAUAGGGAAGGGGAGAGGUCACAAAACUGUCAGACAAUUUAAUGUAGAGUCAGAGAGCUAUAGGCUUGCAUAUGUCUAUGCAAGCAUCUCUUUAUAGGAGUGGUUUGUUCCCUCUUGCUCUGAGCUUGUUCUGUGUUGGCAUGAGAGGGAACAUUGUGGGCAAAGAUACAGAAGUAGGAAAAUUGAAGGGGUAUGUUUAGGGAAUAUCUCCUAGUCUAGUUUGACUUCAUUUUGCCCUUUGUUUUGAAGAGAACAGUGAAAUCAUGGAAUGAAGAGUUGACUUGGCCACGAAUUGGAUUUAAGUGAGUCAGAGUUGCCCAAAAUUAUCAGCCUUACUCUCUCUUUGAGAGUCAUUAGAGUCUAGUGGUAAAACAAAAGUCAAGAUGACUGGUGAUGGACUGGGAUGCAGUGGAUGACCUUGGCUUCCUUGAUGUCUGGCCAAGGUCUAAGUGCUCCAAGGCAUGAGCUUCGGCCGCCUUCAAAGCCAUUGGAACAAAAUGUUCUCAUCUGUCCAUUCUGCCAUGGAAAUUCCUCACAUGCUUGGGAUAGACAUCCUCUUAACUCAGACCUACUGGUUACUUCUCAACCUGGUUUAGUCAAAACUGAACCCAGUAUCUCGUCCCUUAAAUGUUCUCCCACUCCCAACUUCUCUAUUUCUUUCAAGGGUAACACUAUCUAUCCUCCCAGGCCUUCACACUCAUAACCUAGAUGUCAUCUAGGAUUCUCCAUCAUCUCAUACCCUUUCUCACCUUGCUUUAGAAGCAGUGCUUAAUCUGAGAGCAUAGGAAGGUUGUUUUGGAAGAGAAACAGACAGUGGUAAGUGAUGAGACCAUCAUAAUAGUUCUGGAAGGAGGUGCUAAGGUUUUGAACCCUCUUGUGAAUCUUAAAAUUUCUCAGACUUGUGAAUGAUAAAAAUUCUCAGACUCUACCUUAGAACAUUUGGUUAAGACCAUUCCCCAUUUUAAACAAUGAAGGUAAUUGAUCAGGAAUGUGAGAACUCUAACAUUACUCCACCCAUACUUAAGCAUACUUUAGGGGAAGAUAAAGUUGUAAACUCCUUACUGAACAAUGAAAAGUACUUAACUCAUACUUAUAGUGAGGCAAAAGCCCUUAAGCUAUGUCUAUUUUUAGAUCUAAUACAAAAGAGUGCUAAGUACCUAUGAAGGUCAAAUUAAUCACUAAAAGGUCAGGCAACUUGAAAACUUGCAAGGGACAAACUUAACAAAAGAGGUGUGAAGUUUUAGUCUACCCAGAGCAGUUGAGAACUAAAGAAGGUGUGAAUUAAGAAUGGUCGGUCCUUUGGAAAACGUCUACUGUGAUUGGUAGAUGUGAAAACUUAGGGGAGGUGACAUAGGAGAAAAUUCUCUUUAAAAGGAGGUCAGAAAGACCUCUGAAGUGAGUUCAGCUUGCCAAAGCUGAAUUGGAGGGCUUGGUGGCUGAACUUAGUGGAGCUAAGUUCUCUGGAGGGUCUCUCUGAACACUAGAAUCUUGCUUGGGACAAAUCUUGUGGUGAGUGGAUUAAAGACUGACUGGUCUCUCUUAAGGCUCAGGCCUAGGCCAUUUUGGCCUAGGCCCUUCAUACAUUAUUUCCUCUUACUCUCUCUCUCCCUUUCCUUGAUUCCUUAUUUGUAUUAAUUAAAAUCUCCAUAAAAACCCAGCUGACUUGGGGAUUUCAUAUUUGGGAAUUUUUCCCAUGGCGACCACUUUAUUUUUAAUAUAAAAUCAAGACACAAAAAAUUAUCUUUACAGUUUUGGCAAUUCAAAUCUUGAAACCAUAUUUUCGCGGUCACAGUUUAAGGCAACCACUCUUUUGUCUAUAACACUCUAGUGGCAAAGAGGGAAUGAAAAAGAGGGGAUGGAUGAGAGAAAAAAUGUGGUGGUAGACUUAAGAGGACUUGUUAGUUAUGUGAGGAUAUGGAGAAUGAGAAAGAAAAAAGAUGAAAAGAUAACCAAAUUAUUUAUGAAUGCUUGGAUGUACUUAUAUACCAAUGAAUUUCUCAUUCACCUUUUGUGGCAGCAGCAUUGUGAUUUUAGAGGAUCAUUCAUUUAGAACCAAAAAGGAUCUUAGAGGUCCAUGAGGUCAACCUCUUCAUUUUACAAAUGAAGAAACUGAGACACAGAGAGAUUAAGCAAUUUACCCACAGUUACAUAGCUAGUAAGUAUCUGAGGUGGGAUUUGAUCAUGGGUCUCCCUGAAUUCAGGUGGAGUACACUAUAGAAUAUGCUAUCAAAUUCAAAUAUCUAGCAAAAGAAAGAACUGGAAAAGGAACUCAGGACUUGUGCCUAAUGUAUAAUUUAUGAGAUCAGAUGUGCAGGUGGGAAAGGUAUAACUCAGCUGGGGUUAUAUGCGAUUGUAGUUCUCUAAUCUGGGUUAUUUUUCUAGCUUCCUUCCAGGCUCCCCAAAGACCAACAUCAACUCAAAUUAAAGUAACAAAGAUAUUGAAUAUUGGGUCUACAGCCACAAGGGUAAUUUGGGGCCAUUUUCCUUUUUUGCAACUACCAUGCUUAGCAAGAAGUCCUACCCUCUCACCCAAUGACAUACCUUUGGGUGCCCUACAACUCUUUCUGGGACCCUGUUGGUACAAAAUUCUUUCUUCCAGCUCUGUGGGACCCCUACUCUUUCCCUGUCCUCACACUAUUAGAGUAAUUGUCUUUGUAAAGAACUCUCUGACUUUGGACAGGCCUGUGUGUCCUAUUUAGGGACUUGGGAAAUGUACACGGAGAGGGAGAUGAGGUGAAGGGAAGGAAGGGGUAAGCUCAUGUUUAGAAAGUGCUAAAUCCAGUUAUACAAAGGUCAGCUCUCUCUGGAGACGAGCCUGUCUUUAGGAACCUGGCCAGCAUUUCAAUGCUCUUUCAAGAAGGCUCAAAUCCAAGAAGUCUCAAGUUCAAGGAGAUUUUGAAAAUAGGCCUUUGGGUUGUCUGUCUCCUGUCUUUUUCUGAAUUCAUGAGGGAAGUCUGGGAACCUGACACUUGUUUCCUUUUACCAUAUGUUUUCUCUUUCAAGCCAAAUGGAGCAGUCACACUUUCCUUUUCAUGGUGUCCUUCUGGAGGGGUUAGAGGCAAGACAGAGCAGGUAAAUAGGAAUUCCAUCCUCUUCAUUACUUCCCCAGAACCCUUUGCAGCAAAGAGCACCCAAGUGCUUUAUGAGACACUGCUCUCUAAAUGAUUGGAACUUUCUCCCAAACACUUUGCCAUGCUACAUUAGCAUUUAUUGGUUUGAUAUUUACAUUUGUAAGGGAGCACCCACUUCCUGGGUCCCCAGAAGGCCAUUGAGUCAAGUGAAACAGGUUCUAAUUGCAAUUCAUCCCUCUUCCCCUCCUUUUCUCAUCCUACUCCUUCCUUUCCAAUUCACACCCCUCUCCCCUCCCCUAACAAUCUAAAAAAAUAAAAAAUCGGAGAACUACUAUAAUGGAAUAACUGCCCAAUAAAUCUAUCUUUCCUUUUGUAGACCAGAAGAAACCCAGAAUUGGGUUCUACUAAGUCCAAAGACAAAUGGGAAGGUUGGAGGCUCUAGCCAGAGAAUCCAAAGAAUGUUAAGAACCGAGGCCUUAACAAUUAUCAUUCUAAUCCAAUGCCAUUUUCUAGAUGAGGAAACUGAGGACGAGUGAGGUACAGUGACUUGUCCAGAGUCACAUGGAGUUAGUAGUGAAGCCAGGAUUACUUCUGGGUGGUGGAAAGAACAUAAGAUUUGGGGUCAGACAACCCAGAUUCAUAUUCUAGCUUUGCCUCUUGCUGCCGGUGUGACCUUGGGACACUUGUUUUGCCUUCUUGAGUUUUAAUUUCCUUAUCUUUAGAAUGAAGUUGGAACAAAUGGUUCAUUUCCAGCUCUAGGUUUCGUGAUCCUAGGAAUCUUGGACCUAGACCCUUGGUCCAGUGUUCUUUCUCCCACACCACAUGUCCUUUCAUCUUUUAUCAGCUAUUCUCUCUCCAUCUGGAAACAGCUCAACAGCCUCAUUCCCAUCUGGGUGAGACUGUCAGCCCAAAAGAGAAUGCCUUUACCAUGAAGUCAGGGCAUUGGCGAUUUGGGUACAAGAGCUCUAAGCAUUUGUCUUUAAUCCCCCCUUUGAUUUUAUGUGUGAGGCAGCUGCGGCUCAGUGGUUAAGAAUCCUGGGCCUGGAGUCAGGAAGACCUGAGCUCAAAUGUGGUCUCAGAUACUUCCUAGCUGUGUGACCCUGGGCAAGUCACUUAAACUCCAUUGCCUAGUCAUUACCACUGUUCUGCUUUGGAACCAAUACACAGUAUUGAUUCUAAGGCAGAAGAUAAGAUUUUUUGUUUUGUUCUUACUUUAUUUUUUUAAUGAAGACUAUAACACAUUUAUGUAGAACAGAAUUUAAAUGUUACUAAAAAGUUUUCAUUAUCUCUUCCUCCAACCAACUGAUCCCAAUAUCCACAUUCUUUUCUUAAACUUCUCAAACUCCCUCUAUCUUCCUCUUAUGGAUUUCUUCUUCUAAAAUCACUUGCCCAAGGGGCAGCUCAGUGGAUUGAGAGCCAGGCCAAGAGACAGGAGGUCCUAGAUGCAAAUCUGGUCUUAGACAUUUCCCAGCUGUGUGACCCUGGGCAAGUCACUUGACCCCCAUUGCCUAUCCCUUACCACCCUUCUGCCUUGGAACCAAUACACAGUAUUGAUUCUAAGAUGGAAGGUGAGGGUUUAAAAAUAAAUAAAUAAGUAAAAAAAAUACUAAAAUCAUUUGCCCAAAUUUCUUCUUACACAAACUUUAUUCUCUUUCUUUGUGUCUCCAGUGCUUUGUAUGCUAUUGUGUGUGUGUGUAUAAAUGGAAUUGGAUAUUUACCACUGCCCAUCUAUUUAAAUUUUGGAGAAAUGCAGUCUCUUCUCUUUCUAAGGGAGAUGGGACGAGCAGGAGAUACUUGAAGAGAGGCGACGAUAUUAGAAAGUUUAAGAUAGAUACCAAGGAAGAGGCAAAGGAAUCUAGGCUGCUCUUUGCUGGGCUGCUGCUGCUACUCCUGUAGUCCCACAUAACUGGAUCGUGUCACUGCCACCAGGACAGAAAAUAGAGACACAAGGUGGCUUGUGCCAAUCGACAAGCUCACUAACAGUUGGAGGGAUGCGAGACUGAAGCAAGCAAAAGCCGGGGAGAAUAGCAACCGUAGAAUCAAGAAUUGUAUUGGCUGCAUCAAUGAGAUGAAAUUUGGACUCCUCUCUGGAUUAGAAAAUUUAGAGGAAUAUCUGGAUCGAUUCCUUGGCCAAAAUUGCCAGAGGGGCUGAUCCAAGAUGGUAAUUCUACCUCCCACCGUUCCAUUCCCAGCAAGCAACUGUUCUCUCAUGGAGCUUAUAACUGGUCCUUCAAGUCUGUUUUGCAUUUCCUCCAGGCCACCUGUUUCUAAAAGCCAGUAUCAAGCUAAACUGCAGUUAGCCCUUUCAUUGCUGGUCUCAUUGCACUGAUGGGGAGCUUCUUGGAGCCACAGGUUGUCUCUCAGGCCUGAAAUGCUUUCCUCCUCAUCUUAGCCUCCUGGCUUCAAUUUGUCCUCCAUCCAGCAACAAUAGUGAUGCUCCUAACACAGAGAUCUAUCCAUAUCAUUCUCCUCUCAAGAAGAUUCAACACUUCCCAGGUUCCUCUAGGAUACAGGGCAAAAUUCCCCUGCUUCAUACUUGAAGCCCAUCAAAAUCUGGUUUAAGCCUA